UCCCAUCGAACAUUUGACGUCUCAAGAGAAAUUAUUUCGAAAUAUCCAAUAAGGUCAAUACAUGUGUUCCAUCAAGUAUGUAUCACCUCAAAAGAAAUUAUUGCCCGCACUGUAUACACCAUGUGUCCUGUGUAUACAACCACCAAUGACAACUAGUUUCUAUAAAUCCCAAUUAUUAGAUAUGUAUCUCGAUAUAUCAUUAUAAACCUAGCAGCCA
rnacentral:lncRNA from 1 species